rnacentral:lncRNA from 1 species
CAGACGGAGCCACUUGGCCCAGCCAAGAACUGUUUCUCCACGCUGAGCCCAGCGCCGACAGGGGAAGAAGCUGGAGCCAGUGUCCAGAUGAACUGUCCAAGGCCAGCGGAUGCUGAGAAUGUGCAGCCACUGCACCAAUGCGUGUGAGAUGACAGAAGGCGCCCACAGACCCCAGCAGCCACCGCAGUCUCAGCAGAGACACAGGGCAGGCAGUGGGGCUCUGAUGCCAUGGACUUGGGACCCUGAGGCCCUGAGCGUCCCCUGAGCCCCCCCAGAGAUCAGUGUAAAAGCUACCUUCACCUCAGCUACGCACAGCCAGCCCUGCCCUAGGCCUCACCCCUCAGAGCCUUCAUCCAUCUAGAGGGCCAGAGACAAGAAAAGAGCCGGCGCUCGGACAGAACCUUCUGUGUAGACUGCACUAGCUGCCCUGAGGACGAGAACCCUGGAUUGUCACGCUCUGGGCAGAGGCGGCUUUGCCCCCAGGAGACAUGGAUGUCUGAGGUGUGUGCCCUCCCCGGCAGCCCCGUCUCACCCCCAGCUGCUGUGACACACACCAUAGCCACAGCUAUGAAGCACACACGCUUCUCAGGUCCUGGGCGUGGCCGACGUGCCUGAGGCUUCCUGGGUCACAGACAGCACCCAGCCCUCGGGGCCAGCUCAUUCACAGAGCUCAGCCAUGGGACCAUCAUCUGUGGCCACCCUGUGACCUGUCCCACAUCAAGGGGCCCUGGACUCAGUCGGACAGCAGCCUGGCAUGGCCAUAGAACCGCAAGUUUCUGGGGUUCCCUCACCUGAGGCUGCAGAUGGCUGGGGAGGUCCUCGUCCCCGCCUAACCCACCCCCUAGUCACUGUCCUCUGCAAAACUGGUGUGCACAUGGACACUGGUUCGCUUUCCUACACAGGUGUACAGGGCAGCAAGCAGCAACCGCAAACAGCAGGAAGCACAGUCACACCCAGGUGCUGGGAACUCAGCCGGAAGCACCUCCACAUCCCUUCUGCGGGAAGAGAAAGUGAUGUAGCAUAUCUGGAACUGAACACCACAGGAUGCAGAAUGCUGGACCGAAGCAAGGUAGGCUUCUUCAACAGCACUCGG